CCUAGCUACCUCCCCGACCAGUCAACCGAGCUCCAGAGUCCCUCAUUCCUCCUCCAUGGCCGCCAUGUCCGCCUCGGGUUCGGCCUAAAUUGGCUCAAGCCCGACCUUCUCCCUCCACUCUACCACCACCAGAGGAUUCCCCGUAGUCCGGCGCCCCUCCCGCACCCCUCAGUUCGGCGCCGGAGUGCUCGUAGCCGCGAGUUCCCUAGUCCGGCCGCCGUCAUGGGUUCUCUGCCACCACGCGGUGCUACGGCCACACCCCUCCCCGGCGCCUGCUUCUGCUCCAGGCGGGAGCAGCUCGUCUUCCCGAUCUCGCCGGUGUGCUGGGCCUCGCCGGAGACGUCCCAGGUCGCCGGAACGGGCGCCGGCAGCCGCGGUCGUCCUCUGCCUUCGCGGGCGAGCGGGAGGUAGGGGAAGGAGACGAGGCCAGGCGGGCCCCCUCCUUUCCCCGACCCCACCUGGCAGCCACUCCGGCGCUGACCCGGCCCUAUCCACAUGGAUAAGUGGCGGGCCCCGCCUGCCUUGUUUGAAAAUAUUUUCAUUACAGAUAGGCCCCUGGCAGAAAAACCUUAAUAUCUUUUUGCCGGUAGCUCCAAAUCAGCCCCCUUCGAGAGAGAACGUUUUCCGGCGAUUCGUUCCGCGAGCUUCUCACAUUUUCUCCCGGUGAUUUCUUCCACCCCAG